rnacentral:rRNA from 1 species
GACGUAGGGGGCGAGCGUUUGUCCGGAUUUAUUGGGCGUAAAGAGCUCGUAGGCGGCUCAGAAAGUCGGGUGUGAAACCUCCAGGCUCAACCUGGAGACGCCACCUGAUACUGCUGUGGCUAGAGUCCGGUAGGGGAACACGGAAUACCCGGUGUAGCGGUGAAAUGCUUAGAUAUCGGGUGGAACACCGGUGGCGAAGGCGGGUCUCUGGGCAGUAACUGACGCUGGAGGAGCGAAAGCGUGGGGAGCGAACAGG